rnacentral:rRNA from 1 species
UACGGGGGGGGCAAGCGUUGUUCGGAAUUACUGGGCGUAAAGGGCUCGUAGGCGGCCAACUAAGUCAUACGUGAAAUCCCUCGGCUUAACCGGGGAACGUGCGUCUGAUACUGGAUGGCUUGAGAUUGGGAGAGGGAUGCGGAAUUCCAGGUGUAGCGGUGAAAUGCGUAGAUAUCUGGAGGAACACCGGUGGCGAAGGCGGCAUCCUGGACCAACACUGACACUGAGGAGCGAAAGCCAGGGGAGCAAACGGG